AUAUGAUUUUAUUUAUAAUUAUUUUGAAAGUAAUUAAAAAGGAAUUUCCUUUAAAGUCGG
rnacentral:tRNA from 1 species